rnacentral:rRNA from 1 species
UACGUAGGGUGCAAGCGUUGUCCGGAAUUAUUGGGCGUAAAGAGCUCGUAGGCGGUCUGUCACGUCGGCUGUGAAAACUCGGGGCUCAACCCCGAGCCUGCAGUCGAUACGGGCAGACUAGAGUCCGGCAGGGGAGACUGGAAUUCCUGGUGUAGCGGUGAAAUGCGCAGAUAUCAGGAGGAACACCGGUGGCGAAGGCGGGUCUCUGGGCCGGAACUGACGCUGAGGAGCGAAAGCGUGGGGAGCAAACAGG